GGCAGCAGCCGGAGAAGGGGGGCGGCGGCUGGGGCCCCGGAAACGGCCCGAUCGCCGGGAUCCGGGCCGGACUCCGUACCUGGGCUGGAGGCGAGGCGGAGAUGGGCGGUCGGGAUCCGCGAAUAAAUUUUCCAUUACGAAUACAACUAACUGAGCCUGACUUGUUGAAAUAUAUUCUCCUGAAAACCAUGAUAAAAGCCUCCCUUACAGCUGGGAACCAUGUGACGCUCUUGCAGCAAUGAGACAUCCACACAAUGCCUCGAACGUGGACAAGGUUGGAACAAUAGCAACUUACAACCAUGAGGCAAAGACUCAACAACAUCGCAGAGACAUCAACCCAACAUUGCAAACGGUACCAGUGGCGGCUCCUCCAUUCUUCUUGUUUUAGGAGUAAAAUAACUUCAUGUUUUGCUAUAGUCAACUGCGUUUGGGGGCCUGUAGUCAAAAGCAUUCCUGACUUAUUCACAUGGCUCCUGUCUGCGGGUGGACUAGAUGGCAAGGAUCCCCCACUCCUAUGUGGCCUUUUCUCUUUCAAGAGGACACAGGAGCCUCUUGACUCUUUGAAGAGGACACAGGGGUGCUACGUCCAGGCACCUGCCGUGCGUACUGUGGUGCCUGGGGAGCAGACGAGCAUUUAGUUCCCUCACUUGUGGACUCUGAAGGAGGGAAAACUGUCACGGC